AUGGCCAAAAGAAAUGCCGAGAAGGAACUGACAGGAAUUGGGAUCAAGAAGAUGAAGCUGAAGAGAUGGGAACAUUCUCCGUGGCCAGUGAGGAAGUCUUGAAGAAUAGAGCCAUAAAGAAAGCAAAGCGCAGAAAUGUUGGAUUCGAAUCUGACAGUGGAGGAGACUUUAAAGAUUUUAAAGGUUUGGUGGUACCUUCUGGAGGAGGACGGUUUCCUGGAUUUGGUAGUGGCGCUGGAGGGGAAGCCUUUGGAAGGACUGUCGAAUGGAAACAACAUAACCAGUGCCCCUCCCUUCACCGGUGCAAAGGCAGUGGCAGAGCCCAAGGUAGCCUUUGGUUCUCUUGCUGCAAAUGGCCCUACCGCCUUGGUCGAUAAAAAAGUUUCAAAUCCCAAAACUAAUGGGGACUGUCAGCAGCCCUCCUCCUCUGGCCUUGCUUCCAGUAAAGCUUGUGUCGGAAAUGCCUGUCACAAGCAGUUGGCCGCCUUGAACUGCUCUGUGCGGGAUUGGAUAGUGAAGCACGUGAAUACAAAUCCCCUCUGUGAUCUGACACCUAUCUUUAAAGACUAUGAGAAAUAUUUAGCAAACAUUGAACAGCAACAUGGGAACAAUGGCAGGAAUUCUGAAAGUGAAUCUAACAAAGCGGCGGCUGAAACACAGUCUCCUUCCCUUUUUGGCUCAACAAAAUUACAGCAAGAGUCAACGUUUCUGUUUCAUGGCAACAAAACUGAAGAUAACACCUGACAAGAAGGUGGAGGUGGCAUCUGAAAAGAAAACGGACCCAUCAUCACUAGGAGCGACAAGUGCCUCAUUUAAUUUUGGCAAGAAAGUUGAUAGCUCUGUUUUGGGCUCAUUAAGCUCUGUCCCCCUGACUGGAUUUUCAUUCUCCCCUGGAAACUCCAAUUUAUUUGGCAAAGAUAUUACCCAGAGUAAACCAGUCUCUUCACCAUUUCCCACUAAACCAUUUGAGGCCAAGCGGAAGGUGACAGUGGUGAAUGCAAAGGUGGAGAUUAAGAAAAGAAUGAUGAGCCACCCAAAGUAGUAGUUACAGAAGUAAAAGAAGAAGAUGCUUUUUACUCCAAAAAGUGUAAACUAUUUUACAAGAAAGACAAUGAGUUUAAAGAGAAAGGCAUAGGUACUCUGCAUUUAAAACCUACAGCAAAUCAGAAGACACAGCUUUUGGUGCGGGCAGACACCAAUUUAGGCAACAUAUUGCUGAAUGUUCUGAUUCCACCCAAUAUGCCAUGUACGCGAACAGGGAAAAAUAACGUGCUUAUCGUCUGUGUUCCAAAUCCACCAAUCGACGAGAAGAAUGCCACCAUUCCAGUCACCAUGUUGAUUCGGGUAGAAACCAGCGAGGAUGCAGACGAGUUGCACAAAAUUUUACUGGAGAAAAAGGAUGCCUGAACAUGCGAAGUCGGCUGCGGCAUUAUUGCCAAGUUGCUGCUUCUUCCACCGCCUCUUAGUCAGUUUUUCUUCUCUUCUUUGACAUUCUAAGAACUUAUAGAUAACUUAAAACUUUUGUGAGGAAGAUUAAUGUGGCCAAUAAAACCUUUAAAUGUUAAGUGUCAAGAAACUGCACUCUCCCUUCUUAAGAACUGCCUAAAGCGUAAAAUACAUUUGAAUGCAAUUUUUGGAAGAUUUUUAAAUGUUCGUUUGUUUAUUAAACUAACCCCAAGUGAUUUCUUCAAGGACUGCAAUCAGGGUAUCGAUUCGCUUUCCCAAAGGCUCUUCCAACCCAUGGGUUUUGGGGUCCACCGCCACCACCAGAGAGGCUUUUGAAUAGGUGCCCGGCUGUGUUCAGAAGGAAGCUGGCCUGUAUGCUUCUCUCUGGUGGGCUCAGCCGACAUGUGAGACUUGUUCUGUUACCAAAUGAACCGGGCUGCCACGCUGUGACAGGCGUUUGUCCUCUGCUUUAUUUUUAUUUUGAAGCUAAAAUGUGAGUACUAAGUGUUCACCUCAGCGUCGAAUCAUUGGCCUGUAACCCUGUGGGCUGUUUCACGAGAAUUCAGGACCUGCAUUUUCAUUCUAAAAAGAAAUGAACAGCUUGUGAAGGAGUUUUUUGGCUUUGUAGUUUCCAUUCAUGAGGUAGUGUUACUUCUUUAUCCCCCUAAAGACAAAACGAAGAUAAAGGGGGAUUGCCAGUAAUGGAUUUAAAAGCACAAAUUUGGUAGCUUAUCAUCUACACCAUGGAGAGUGAACCCUUACGAAAUGAAAGUCAAAUGAGACCAUCCUAGAAAAAGAAGAUGCUCAUAGGCAUUUGUACCAUGAUCAACCCCACGCAUAUGAAAACUAUGACCAAGUGAUGUGCCUGGGAGCUUUGACACACAAGCCAUGUGAAUUCACUAGGAAACAUGUAAUAAGGUAAUGGAAGAGAAAAUCGUGUGUAAAUUUUGCCUUUAACUUUAGACAGCAGUAUAUUAUACAUUUGAUAUCUGAAAUAUCUUUACUUUUUUAAGAGUAAGAUUCCAUAUGUCUGUUUGGAAGGGAGCCAUGGUUAUGCACACGAAUAUCCAUGUCACUUCUCCAGGGCUGUCAGGUAACUAACACGAGCAUUCUUUGAAGACUCUGGGCACAUGAAUGAGAUACAGAAUUGAAUGUUUGAAUUUCUACUUUGAUUCCUCAUGAAUCAUUUGAGACUAGUACCAGCUGAUCUUGUAUACAGGCUCAGGGUCAGUGCCCAAGGGCUCACGUGUGUGUGUUCUGAUCUUCAGUGCGUAGCACAUUCUCAUUUAGAAAAGAGUAGUCAGAAUAAUUGUGGACGGUACAGUGGCUUUUUAAAAACUACAGUCUUUAGGUGUAAGGUUUGGGGCCGGGAGCAAUUUUAUGAUCAAAUAUGAUGAACUCCUAAGUACCUGAGGUGUGAUUGGGCCAAUGUUGUCAUGAGGUUCUUGCUCUACUUUCAGUGUUUUGAUUCCACUGGGAGAAUUUGGCCCUAGUGUGUGGCUUUGGAUGAAUCCGUGCAGAGAGAGGUGUGCUUGUACUGUUACAGAAUGCUGUCAGACAUAGCUAUAGUAGGCAUCUAGGGAGGAAGUGGCCAUUAUUUUUACAUUGACGUUUUAGAAUUGAGAAUGCACGUGAGUUUUUGUUGCAGAUGAUUUAUAGUAAGCAAGUGGUUGAUGCUGUUAAUACCAGCCCUGCCCGAUUGACAUUAAUUUUAUUCAACUUUUAAAAAGAUGAAGAACUAAGGGGAACAAAUUUAAGUUUGUUGCAACUUAGCCAAACAUGCUUCCCUGGUACCAGCUGGAAUCAGCAGCUCACAGGCAUCUUUAGGACACUUCAGUGUAUAUGACACAGUACUUUGUUAGCGUCUGCAUGUGUAUGGAAAGUUUACAAAAAAUGGCAUGAAAAGAUGAUUGGAUUUUCUUUUAAACCUGCCCCUUCUGUAAAAAAUAGUUUGUAUAUUUUUAAAUUAGUGGGUAUGUGUGGCUUCCUUUUUUCCUAACAUUCCCAGCAAAUUUUUGCUGCUAAGACUAUCACUGUUAAAGUGAAAAUUAUGGGGGAAUAUGUGAUGAAUAUACCAUAACCCAAAAUGUGAUGUUUUCUUAAAAAUCACUCUUUUAUGCUUUAGGAGCUGGUUGGUCUCUACUUGAUUAUUAGUGUAAAGAGCCUGAGUAUAUGUGGAUUUUAUUGUAAAAUUUAACUCCUUGUCUUUUACUUGGGGCAUGGGGCCCCUGGAGGGCUUACCUAUUUUCCCCACUAUGUUAACAGGUAAUUCUGAUUUAUGCGUUAUUUUAGUUUGACUUAUUUUUAACAAAUUAUUAGAAAUUAUGCUUUAAAAUGUUUAAUGUGGACUGAAAUUUUCAUCUUUUGUUUGAGAAUCUAUGAAGUGUAUCAUAUACGUGGCCUAAAGCAAGGUGUGUAUUUUGUUAUUCUGAAAUUGUUUCGCAUCUGGACAAAUACUAAGUAUCCCAGUGGCCUUUUUUUUUUUAAACCUGUGUAUCCAUCUCAUCCUUUUGCACAUUCCUAGUAAGCAAAAAAAUUUGUUAUGCCAUCUUCAUUAUUCGAAUUACAGACUGAAAAUAUGGCCAGUUUUUAAAGAAGUUUAGAUUAUGUUUUCCAUGGAAGGACAAGUCUGACUGUUCAUGGGCUGAUUUUCUUUAAGAGGAUUAUUCUAUUUUACAAUUUCAAUUCUAGAUCACAUUUUAUAUAUGCUGCAUGCCAAAAAAAAAA